UACCGUUUGCGUUGCGUUGCAGUUUGUUGAGCUCGAUCGAGAAGUGGGACGAAGAAGGCCGUUAAUAAUUCAACUACUUAAAGAAUGCGGGUUAGAUGUGGACGACUUCGAAGACAUUUGCAGUAGGCUAAACAGAGAAAGAGAGGGAGACCCAAAACUACUUGUCCUGGCAUCACAUUUGAGGAGGAGAUGGAGUCGGUGAAUAUGACCUAGCCCGGGGGAGUUUCCAGAAGACGGCCCAGAACCACUGGCCGCCAGGAGUGGAGGUCCUUUGUUGUUGCUCUACAUGUCAGGAGGCAUCGGGCAGUAGCCCUGGUAGAAGCACCAUCUUGAUACCAUCAUUCAAACUCUCAUCAGCUGUAUCAUUAUAGGUGGACUAAAAGAACAAUAUUCAUGCAGAUAUAAUGAUGCCUUAAGUUGAAAUGGAAGGUGUCCUGAAUCUGCACCCAUUCAUCUGGUUUCGUAACUCCUUUCAUAGUGCUAUUGGAACCUGCUCCCUACCAGUAUAACAUCAAACAGAUUGGAAGAAUAAAGGCCAAUGGGAAGUGCCUUUUAUAUUUCUACUUGCCACAAAGCAGUCCAUGGUUUAGCGCAAUCUAAACUGGACUAUUGUAAUGCUCUUCGUGCUUGAAUUAGGGCGAUCUGGACUGACUGCAGAUAGUACAGAAUGCUGCAUCUAUUGUGCCAUUUGCCAUACGCCAACUUCGCUGGCUGCAAGUCAAGGAAAGGAUAUACAUGAACAUCAGUGUCCGUCUCCUGAUUUUCAAAGUCAAUGACAGAGAUCCAGAUUACAUGUAUUAUAAGGAAUCCCUUGUGCGUCAUUUUCAUUCUAGGCGCACUUGCCUUUUUAUUUUUGUGAUCAUUACGCACCUACAAAUUAGCUACUGGUGAUGCAACUUUCUCCACUACUGCUCCAAGGCCAUGGAAUUAGCUCCUUCCUCUCCUCCAGUUGUCAACAACCUUGGAUCAAUCCAAAUACAAUUUGAGAAGACCUACUAUAUUCCUGAUCUUUGCUCUGUACCUACAACAAUACUGUCACUGCCUGGUAAUUUGAAUUUUUUUAAAUCUCAUGUGCUGACUACAGUAGGAUGGCGUCUCAAUUCAUCCAAAUUAGACAAGGGAUAAUAAAGUAAUGUAUGACAUUCUAACCUCUGCAUUAUUUUGGUGAAAGAGCUCUAAGCAUAUAUGCAAGUAGCAAGCUGAUGAUGUCAUACUGACGUACAUUGUACAUGUACACGUAUCCCCAACUUAUUAUUUUGUAUAUAAAAUUGUGCAUUUAAUUUUGUUUACCAAGAAUGAAACAAAUCGGAUUGUAAACUGUAUUGAUGUGACUUACCUGUAUUGAUUAUUGCUGGAAGUUCUUUUGCUACAUGGGAUUGGAAGACAUACUUAUUACACACAUGAAGUAAAUUAUUAUUUUAUCUGGUAACAUGAGAACAAUAAAAAUGUGGGCAUGAUAUCAUAAACUUACAUGUAUCUACUUGCAUGUGUUGAUGACCAAUAUUUUUGUAAUUAUUUUUUUUAAAAUUUUAUCUGAUUUUGAUAAAAUUUUCACUAUUUUGCAUGGUAAAAAUUACUUUAUUUUAGAUUAUGUUGAGCCCGUAUCAUAUACAAGUACAACUUUAAAGAUAAAUUACCAGUUGUAGUAACAAUCUUAAAAUGAGUUCGAACAGAAUCCAAUAGAAUUACCAGCAAAAUAUAAAAGACAUGUGCCAUAAUUAAUUAUAGCUCGGGAAGAAAAUGUGUAAUUGCUGAGAAAUGAGCAAAAUAAGCAUGUAAUUCUAUCCAAUGUCAGGUAUUUUUCAAAUCAAUCAUAAUACACUGUCCUGUCCCACAUGUUCUUUUCUGUGUUAGUGAUCAUCAAAAUAAUUAAUUUUAGGUUCAAAAUUAGUGAUUUUACAAAAAUACAAGCUUACAUUAAUGUACCAGAUCUAGAGAUUAUGUACAAUAUUUUGACAAUUUCUCAUGAAAUAAUUGUUUGCUGCAACUGCUGUCUUUUUAAUACGUUUAAGUGAUAGUGUAAUACAACCACAAACUUUUCUUAAAGGGGAUUCCAGCCUUGGCCAAAAAAUGUUGUGUUGGGAAGGAGAAAAAUAAAUUAAACAGAAUGGUGAAAGUUUGAAAGAAAUCGGAUAAGCAAUAAGAAAGUUAUAGCUGCUUUAAAAUUAAGAUCACUAAUAGUAUGUAGAUUUCAAAUUGGCAACUGGGUAAGUAAAUUAUGACAAGGGGCAAGGACAACUUUCCCAUAGGCCAUGUACUUUAUUAUCAGGGAUUUGUGGUUUUCUCCUAAGUACCCAUUCCCCUGGGGCAGUAAUCUAAAUAUAACCCAGGUAGUAUAUUGUUUAAUGUCCUCAUGAAUGAAAAAUAUAAUUUGAAAUAAAUUUUUUUGGAAAAAUGAUAUUUUAGCCAUAAUAUGUAUUGGAGUACAUGGAAGAGUAGUCCUUGCCUUACAUCACUAUGACAUCCCAUAUGCGGCCAAUUUGAAGUCUCCAUGGGUAUAGUGAUUACCAAUGUUUACAACUUUUAAAAAUUCCGAACUUUCUUGUUGUUUGUCCAAUAUUGUUCAAACUUUCACCUAUCAACUUUUCUGAUUUUUCUUUUCCUUAUAAACAUAAGUUUUUAUUUGGGUUGGAUUCCCCUUUAAGAAUUAAUGUACAUGUAUGAUUCUUUCACCCAAAUUUACAUGCAUUGAUACUGUUGACUACUUGCCAAAAGUUCCUGCCAAAAGCCUUUUUUAACGAUGUACAUGCUUUUAUAGACGACCUGCCAAAACAUUGUAUUGUAUUAUAUUCAAGGUCCAACCAAAAAGAGAUGAAUAAAAUGUUUGAAGGAAAUUGAAAUUAACUUUUAAAAUGAUAGAGCUCUGUCAAUGCAGUAUUAUUACAGGGUUCCCACAGUCAUGGAAAAUCCUGGAAAAAAAUUGGUAAUGGAAAGUCAGGGAUAUGUGAAAAGUCAUGGAAUUGCAUUUACCUCUUGGCUAUGACAGCUUUCUAGUUUUUUAUGUCUCACAACUCUCAUACUCUGUGAUUGUACUCUACUUUUAUAAUUGGUGUUCAUGAUCAUAACAUGUCUGAUUUUGUAAACUGUGCCAGAAAGGAAUUAAGUCAUGGAAAGCAGCAAUUUAGUCAUGGAGAGGUCAUGGAAUUCUGUUUUCAAAUUUCUGUGGGAACCAUGAAUAGAUUUGUGCACUUGACACAGUGUGCACUACAGAUGAACUUUGUAAUGCCAUGAUAUAAACCAGUACAAUAUCUUAAAGGAAAAUAAAACCCAAAAUAUAAUACCACAUGAUACCAUUGAUAAAUACAGGACAAUGAAAAUGAAUCCACUCAUAUACCCCCAAUCCGAUGUCCCAGUAUGGAGUACCACCUUUUCAAAGUUGGCAUCUUCUGGUACAAAGUCUAUGGAUGGGGAUUAUUCCGUCAGCGAUGAACUACAUCUCUAAACGUUUGGGCAUUAUAUAUUCUAUUUCAUCGAUAAUAAAUCAAAUGUACAGAUAAAACUCAUAAAAUAUUAAUUAAAAUUUGUUUAAUAUUAUAUGAUAGGUUCAAAUUACGACUUGAUGAGUUUUAAUGAUAAAAAUUACACCCUAAUCUACGAUUUACAAAUUGGCAGCGGAAAUUGGGGUGUAAAUCUUAUCAUUAAAACUCAUCAAAUUGUAUUUUGAACCUACCAUAUAUUGAACAAAUUUUAACUAAUAUUUUUAUGAGUUUUAUCUGUACAUUUGAUUUGUUAUUGAUAAAAUAGAAUAUAUAAUGCCUGAACGUUUAGAGAUGUAGUUCGUCGCUGAUGUAAUAAUUUCCUAACUAACCCCGCGAAAAUGGCGACCUCCAUCCAGAAACUUCGAACCAUACUGUAAGAGGCCAACUUUGAAAAGGUGGUACUCCGUAAUUGGAUUAGGGUAUGAGUGGAUUCAUGUUGAUUGUCCUGUAUUUAUCAAUAAUAUCAUGUGGUAUUAUGUUUUGGGUGUUAUUUUCCUUUAAUUCAGAUAUUACAUGCCAGGGUAUUGUCCUAGUUUUCAUUUUCUCCAAAUACAUAUUAUCAUCUCUCGUCUAUUUCUACUUGCCCUUCAGCCUUGAAGUAAACUUGGGAUAAUUAUGCAUUUUGUUAUACGCAAUUUUGAGUACAGUGCACUUUGCCGCAGCUACUUAUAUGAUAUUACCUAUUGUAGACACAUCCUUAUGUUUUGUUCAUUUUCUUAAAAACGAUUAAGAGUUUAAUCAUUUUUGUCUUUAAGCAUAAAACAAAGAGUAAAUCAGUCCAUUCUGUAUGUGUGACCUGCAAAAAAACUACAAUGGUCGUUAAUUUGGUUUGCUGAAAAGCCAGAUAACCUUUGAGGUAACUUUUUAAAGUAUUUAGAAGAAAUGUAUCUUUUUUUAAAGUAUUUAUAUGCACUGUAACUAAUUUCUUUGAUAGUUACUAUUAUGUUACACUGUUUGUACAGUAAAGCAGCUGUUACACAAUUUUUGUCAAUAGCAAAUCUAAACCAGUAUUGUAAAUUGAUGACUCUAUGAGCUAAAUAUCAGUACUUUCUAUAUCACUUGUAAAAUCAUUUGUUGUCUGUUCAUUGAAGGUGUUGUAUUUUCUUAAUCUUAUAAAAGUACAUAGGGUCAUGAACACAUUCUACUGCUACCAAAAUCAUACCCAUGAUCUGUGAUGUAUCUAACCAGUUACCACACACAUUGCAACACACCAGUUGCAACAUACAUUAUCAUGCAUCAGUUAUCACACAUCUAGUUACCACACACAUUUUGGGUAAUGACUCUGAUGCAUGGUAUUAUGUGUAUUAUGUACAAUAUGUGUGGUAACUGGUUAGUGUUUACCACACACCAUUUACCACACGAAUUACCUCAUAUUUUACCACACACCAGUUACCACAUGCAUUACCACACACCAGUUACGUAACUGGUGUGUGGUAGUGUAUGUGGUAACGUGUGUGGUAAAUCGUGUGUAGUAAUGCAUGUGGUAACCGGUGUGUGGUAAAAUGUGACGUAAUUUGUGUGGUAAGGCAUGUGGUAAAAUAUGAGGUAAUUUGUGUG